AACCUCCAGGUUCCUUACCCCUCAGAUUUCAGUAUUGGUCUGAAGGGCUUAAAAAGGAAGAAAAAUAAAACAGAAGUGGACUUGGAGUCUUCAGGGACAUACACGUUCAUUUAAAACAUUA
rnacentral:snoRNA from 1 species